AAGAUUUUAUGUUAUAUAAACUAAUAGCCUUCAAAGCUAUAGAAAUAAGUAAAACCCUUUUAAAUCUUA
rnacentral:tRNA from 1 species